AAAAUAAUAAAGAAAGCAAAGAUAACUAAGGUCAGGGCGUGACAGUGACAUUAGCUGUCUGACUUCAUUAGCAAGCCAAUUUUCACACCAUAAACUCAAUUAUUUGAUCAGAUGAGUUGGCUAAUGUUGCUCAACAUUUCUCUGGCUAGGUAACAGAGAAUUUGAUCUGUGCUAAUACUUGUUCUGCCACACUUUCUCCCUCACCUCAAACAUUCCAAAUGCCUGUUUUUCAGUUACAGCUCAUGAAGUACACUUCAUCCCCGUGGUCAUCAGGCUUCUCACCUAACAUUACCUCUGUUUUCGUUCAGGGGAUGUGCUGCUGUAACUGCCUUUCUACUCUAUGCGGUCUUUCCAGAGCACGUGCGGAUGCUGUAACCAGAGUUGCUAGCGCCUCAGUAAGGAAAGUAGCUAUUGGCUGUCCUAAAAGUCACUAGAAGUCGCUAAAUGAUGUCGUCACCGAAAUGACAUGUGCAUGUACUUGUGAUGGACGCUGUAGGAGAGGAAUAACGUUGUGGGAAAAAGACACCCUAAAUAUGUUUAGAACUACAAAUGAACUUCUGUCGAUUCUUGUCGAUUUAUGUCACAAUUCUAACCCUCCUUUAUCCGGACUUGGGAUUGGCAAAAGUGACCCAAAAGAGACACUCUGGCGGAGGUAUUUAGUUAAUUAUUUAUUUUAGUUUGGUUUUUAACCUUAUGUUCUACUUUGGAGCCUACAAGUUACAGUAAAACAUGAACAUUUAUAACCAUACAAUUUUAUUUUUUACAUACAAUCUACAUUAACAAUCUAAAUGGACCAGCAAUGGCAAUGUGAGAAUUAUGGUAACUAGUCUGGCUUUAAUUCAGGUUAAUAGUAGUUUUCCAGACCCCCCUCCACACACACAGGCUGUACUGGCUCACAGAGAGUGGGUCAUUGUCUUUUUGGUCAAGGCUCUCUAUGGAAGGUUCAGCAACUGAGGGAGCGGACUUAAAUGAGUAAGCAGCUGAUGAGCCAAAAAGAUGCAAAACAUUAUCAGGCAGCUGGUGCUCAUAGCAAGCCUCACCAGACAGCUUCAGUCCAUAUCGAAUGUACAGGAUGGAGUUAAGGGUCUGCAAGGACAUCCCAUUUCUAGUUAUGCUUUUUACCACACUCAUCUGGCGGAAUACUCUCUCGACUUCAGCAUUCGAGUGUGGCAAGGACAUCACAGACACAGCAGCCAUGGCAAGUCCUUGAAACGGGUUGAUAUCAGCUGCAUCCCUGAACUUCCAAAUCUCACUCCAGAAGCUCUGUUUGUUUUUUGUCUCAUUCCAUUUACUAAGAUGGAUGGCACGCCAUUGCUGGGCAAUCUUGUCUAUCUCUGCAGGGGAGUAGCCAAGGAGCUUGGCUAUGUUUUCUAUUUCUCCAGGGCUCUUAUUGUGCUUUAUAGUUUCCUCCACAUUGAAAACUGACAUGUACUCUUCAAUGUUGUCUGGCAGUCUCACCCUCAACUCCUUAGUGAGGGAGAUGGUGAAGGCUACACACCACUUUCUGACAUUGUUUUCAUCCUCAGGCACAAGGUGGAGCUCAGCUGCCUUUGAACUCAAAGGUAACCAAGGUACAGUUUGGGACUGAUGUAUCCAUCUAUUGGCUCUUUGAGUACAUCAACAUUUCCCAGUGGAUUCAGCACCCUGCUGGUCAGAGACUUGAUCAGGCUUACCAAGCUGGCAAGUAGCUUAAGAGGAUCUACUUGCUCUCACCCAGCACUACUGUACCUCACUGAUGGACUGUCUGAGCUUGGUGCCGACCUGACUAGAGAUUUGGGAGAGAACGGGGAGUACAUCUCAAGGACAAGGUCACCAUCUCUGUCGGCUGGGUAGUGAGACAGUGUGUGCGUGGCAGGACGUUUGUGUGUGUGUGUGUGUGUGUGAAGUCAGUAUAAAAUGAAUUGUAUUCUUUACUUUGAACGUUCU
ensembl:lncRNA